UUAAAUAUUAAUAUAUUUAUAUAUAUACUAUUGUUGUAGGUCGGCCGGCGUGGCACCUGCGUUGAAUUUGUCGCGGAUUUAAAGUGAAAUGCUACUGAAUCCGCGUUUCUCCCCGCGCUGGUGUGUUUUCGUUGUUAUUGUUAUCGUCGUGUCAAUGGGAAACGACAGCGAAACAAACGCGUCAUACGAAUCCGGGGACACAAUAGGGUCGACGGCGGAGGAACGUAGUCGUCUCUAUGUACGCGCGUGUAUAUUGACACGGACGAGAGGGAGAAACGCGAAACGCAAACGAAGUGAAAGAGCAUAAAAUACGAUUUAUAUACGCGCAAACGACUUAAAUGCCGAGCACGUCUUCUUCAACGUUCCUCUCGUCGUCGCGCGCGCGCGCAUCGAGCGACUGCGCUGUCGCGGCGCUAUAUAGCCCAACAGUGAAAACCUCUGCCGUCCGGCACCUGAACGGAAUAUCAGUGUCAAACCGCCGAAGACGAACGAACAACAACAACAAUAAAAAUGCGCGCAGCGGUAAUUGGCUGCGUUUUGAAAAUCGCGACGACAAGCGGAUACGACGCCCGCGCGAUGCACCUGUGCGCCGACGGCCCGUCGAGAAACCCGAUUGAAUAACGACGACCCAAUUCGACCGAAACAAUAAUGUCGCGUGCGAUAUACGUCGCUCGCACGAAUGCAUUAUGUUUUCGGCCACCGCAUCCGUUUUCACGUGGCAUGGAAUUCGUUCUGUCCGCUGCGCCACGAGUCGUACGAACCCAAGGGUCGGACCGGAUGGGUUCACGUGGUGCACGCGCUCCGCAAAUGUUCCGACCGUAAACGACUUUUCGGUGGCGUUCGAACGUUUUAUUUUAAUAGUAUUUGAAAAAAAAAAAAAAAAAAAAAAAAAAAAA